AAGAUCCGUGAUUAAUCGGAGCAGCUUGUAGGCCAUCUAACUCAUAAAAGACGUUGUUAAUAUUAGUGUAUGCAAUAAAAUGAUACACUUCAUCUUCGUCAGUUGCAGCCCUAACCUCUUCACUAAUGAAAGGAUCAGACCGUGCGAAUGAAUUAUGGCAACAACGAAUAUGCUCAGAAUUUCCCAAUGCUUCGCCCUUUAAUUCAGGAGGUAAAGUUUUUGAAAAAUCUUUGAAUUCGCUUAGUGUCGUUCCCAAAUCAAUUUCGUCUGAGUGGUUCAGCAGCACCGAUAAGAGAGCUUGCGUAGCACAGGCAUUGUUGAUUACUUGCUUAGCAAAAAAUAUAUUGUCCAUACUAUCAUAGUCCAUCGUUCCAUCAGGCUUGUCAACCUUACUGUUCCAUUUAAACAAAAAUAUGAUGCCAUAAAUAUCUCUAAUUGCAAGGAAAUCAGUUAGUAAGACCAGUUCCAAUCCAUAAAAGUUCUAUAAAUAAAGAACAAUAGAAAAUCACAACGCGAGUAAAAAACACUACAAUUUUCAACCCCAGCAUAGACGACUAUGCUUUCAAAAAUAUGAUCACUUACGGAAACUGUCGAAGUGAAUCAACGUCUAAACUGUAUAGUUCAUCUACUUCGACAUCUUUAACACCCAGAUUUUCUAUUAAAUCCGUAAAUACACCAGCAUCUGAUUCUAUUGUAGUCCAACUCAUCUUGUGUGUUACAGAAGAACGAAAGAAUGGAAUUUGACAGCACUUAUGCAAGCUGACUUUUAUGAGAGAUCAA